UGGAUAUCUGCCUUUUGGUUCGGAAUAACCCCGGGAAACUAGGGCUAAUACCGGAUGGUUCCUUCGGGAUAAAGAUUUAUCGCCAAAAGAUGAGUCCGCGUACGAUUAGCUAGUUGGUGAGGUAAUGGCUCACCAAGGCGACGAUCGUUAGCUGGUCUGAGAGGACGAUCAGCCACACUGGGACUGAGACACGGCCCAGACUCCUACGGGAGGCAG
rnacentral:rRNA from 1 species